rnacentral:rRNA from 1 species
GAUGAACGCUAGCGGCAGGCUUAAUACAUGCAAGACGAACGGUAAGUGUUGUAGCAAUAUAGCACGAGAGUGUCGUACGGGUGCGUAACACGUAUGCAACCUACCUUGUACAGGAGGAUAGCUCGGGGAAACUCGAAUUAACCCUCCAUGAGAUCACAGUGUGGCAUCAUAUAGUGAUUAAAACCUUGGUGGUACAAGAUGGGCAUGCGUCUGANAGUUAGUUGGCGGGUAACGGCCACCAAGACGAUGAUCAGUAGGGGAACGUGAGAGGUU